rfam:Solanum lycopersicum cultivar Heinz 1706 chromosome 3, whole genome shotgun sequence.
AGCCAUGCCGUGAGCACAUAGCGAACUAUUCUUUCGCGUUUUACUAAAGAAUACCAUGUGCACGCUGCUAUUAAUGGCAUACGCCAAUUUUUGGAGGGGUUCUCAUUUUUGAAGACC